rnacentral:rRNA from 1 species
AACGAACGCUGGCGGCAGGCUUAACACAUGCAAGUCGAGCGCCCCGCAAGGGGAGCGGCAGACGGGUGAGUAACGCGUGGGCAUCUACCCAUCUCUACGGAAUAACGCAUGGAAACGUGUGCUAAUACCGUAUACGUCCUUCGGGAGAAAGAUUUAUCGGGGAUGGAUGAGCCCGCGUUGGAUUAGCUAGUUGGUGGGGUAAAGGCCUACCAAGGCGACGAUCCAUAGCUGGUCUGAGAGGAUGAUCAGCCACACUGGGAGUGAGACACGGCCCGGACUCCUACGAGAGGCAGCAGUAGGGAAUAUUGGACGAUGGGCGCAAGCCUGAUCCGGCCAUGCCGCGUGAGUGAUGAAGUCCAUAGGGUUGUAAAGCUCUUUCACCGGUGAAGAUAAUGACGGUAACCGGAGAAGAAGCCCCGGCUAACUUCGUGCCAGCCGCCGCCGUAAUAC